rnacentral:rRNA from 1 species
UGAAUACGAGACGCUAAGGCGUCGAAGUAGUGUAUGUCAUACUUCCAAGAAAAGCUUGCACUGUCAUAGAUAAAAAACGCCUGUACCAUAACCGACACAGGUGGGUAGGUAGAGUAUACUAAGGGGCGCGAGAUAACUCUCUCUAAGGAACUCGGCAAAAUAACUCCGUAACUUCGGGAGAAGGAGUGCCUUAUUCGUAAGGUUGCAAUAACAAGAUCCAAGCAACUGUUUAUCAAAAACACAGGUCUCCGCUAAGUCGUAAGACGAUGUAUGGGGGCUGACGCCUGCCCAGUGCCAGAAGGUUAAAGAAGUUGGUUAGCAAUUGCGAAGCUGAUAACUGAAGCCCUGGUGAACGGCGGCCGUAACUAUAACGGUCCUAAGGUAGCGAAAUUCCUUGUCGGGUAAGUUCCGACCCGCACGAAAGGCGUAAUGAUUUGGAUACUGUCUCGGAGAGGGGCUCGGUGAAAUAGACUUGUCUGUGAAGAUGCGGACUACCUGCACCAGGACAGAAAGACCCUAUGAAGCUUUACUGUAACUUGAAAUUGAAAUUGGACUUUAUUCGCGCAGUAUAGGUGGGAGGCGUUGAUUAUAAUCUUGUGGGAUUAUUGGAGCCAUCAGUGAGAUACCACUCUUGUAAUGUUAGAUUUCUAACUUUGAAUCAUUAUCUGGUCAAAGAACAGUUUCAGGCGGGCAGUUUGACUGGGGCGGUCGCCUCCUAAACGGUAACGGAGGCGUACAAAGGUUUCCUCUGAACGGUUAGAAAUCGUAUCUAGAGUGUAAAGGCAUAAGGAAGCUUGACUGUGAGACCUACAAGUCGAGCAGGGACGAAAGUCGGUCUUAGUGAUCUGACGGUACUGAGUGGAAAGGCCGUCACUCAACGGAUAAAAGUUACUCUAGGAUAACAGGCUGAUCUCCCCCAAGAGUUCACAUCGACGGGGAGGUUUGGCACCUCGAUGUCGGCUCAUCGCAUCCUGGGGCGGUAGUACGUCCCAAGGGUUGGGCUGUUCGCCCAUGAAAGCGGUACGCGAGCUGGGUUCAGAACGUCGUGAGACAGUUCGGUCCAUAUCCGGUGUAGGCGUUAGAAUAUUGAGAGGAGCCUUCUUUAGUACGAGAGGACCGAGAAGGACAUACCUCUGGUGUACCAGUUAUCGUGCCAACGGUAAACGCUGGGUAGCUAUGUAUGGAGUGGAUAACCGCUGAAAGCAUCUAAGUGGGAAGCCCACCUCAAGAUAAGUGUUCU